rnacentral:rRNA from 1 species
UGAUCCUGGCUCAGGAUGAACGCUAGCUACAGGCUUAACACAUGCAAGUCGAGGGGAAACGACAUCGAAAGCUUGCUUUUGAUGGGCGUCGACCGGCGCACGGGUGAGUAACGCGUAUCCAACCUGCCCACCACUUGGGGAUAACCUUGCGAAAGUAAGACUAAUACCCAAUGAUAUCUCUAGAAGACAUCUGAAAGAGAUUAAAGAUUUAUCGGUGAUGGAUGGGGAUGCGUCUGAUUAGCUUGUUGGCGGGGUAACGGCCCACCAAGGCGACGAUCAGUAGGGGUUCUGAGAGGAAGGUCCCCCACAUUGGAACUGAGACACGGUCCAAACUCCUACGGGAGGCAGCAGUGAGGAAUAUUGGUCAAUGGGCGAGAGCCUGAACCAGCCAAGUAGCGUGCAGGAUGACGGCCCUAUGGGUUGUAAACUGCUUUUAUAAGGGAAUAAAGUGAGUCUCGUGAGACUUUUUGCAUGUACCUUAUGAAUAAGGACCGGCUAAUUCCGUGCCAGCAGCCGCGGUAAUACGGAAGGUCCGGGCGUUAUCCGGAUUUAUUGGGUUUAAAGGGAGCGUAGGCCGGAGAUUAAGCGUGUUGUGAAAUGUAGAUGCUCAACAUCUGAACUGCAGCGCGAACUGGUUUCCUUGAGUACGCACAAAGUGGGCGGAAUUCGUGGUGUAGCGGUGAAAUGCUUAGAUAUCACGAAGAACUCCGAUUGCGAAGGCAGCUCACUGGAGCGCAACUGACGCUGAAGCUCGAAAGUGCGGGUAUCGAACAGGAUUAGAUACCCUGGUAGUCCGCACGGUAAACGAUGGAUGCCCGCUGUUGGUCUGAAUAGGUCAGCGGCC